GGAAAGAGAGGACUGGAGCUUAGGUAAUAUAUUAGGACUCGAUAUUACAGACUUUGGAGACAUUUACAUUGAACCAUCAACUAAAGUCACUGGAGUAGAUAAUAUUUUCAAGAGACAGUGUGUGUUGAAAGAGAAGAGUGUUGAGGACAGAGCCUUAGGGACCAUCCUCGCUUGUGGUUCCUUAAUAAUCAUAGUGGUUUCAAGUCCUUUAGCUUCUCCCCCUAUCUUUUCUGAUUGGAGUAUUUUAAUUCAUAAAUUGCUUUUAAAUAGUCAUGUCAGCCUAAUUUAUAAAUGUAUGCAGCCUUACAAAAUGAAAAAUGAUAAAAACUAACAUGGAAAUCGUACAUGAACAUCUAAAAUCAGGGGAGAAAGUAAGAACUGAAAGAUGACAACAGGACGAGGGGAGGAAAGCAGAGAGGAUGAUAUCUACACCAAGGUUCUUGGCUAGUGUUUGUCCACCUGUAUUUACAUCUGGAAGGGGGUUUCUGUUUCAUUCCUUUAGUGUUCUGGAACUGAGGAGUUUGUACUGGUCAGUGAAGGCUGUUUGCCAGCUGCAGCAAAAGCACUGACACCUCCACUCCUCCAUCACGCAAGAGUUCUGUUGCUGUCCAAUAAAGAGCAUCUAAAAUAUCUUGGCCAAAUGACGAAAAGAGGCGAUCGGCAACCUGAGGAGUGAUAUAAGAAAAAAAAAUGCUUCACUUAGUAGUCAUCAUUGAGAUUGAUGUAUCAAAACCCUGCUAAAGUAUACUGCAAAAAUGGCCUAAGUCAAACUUCAGAAACAAUUUUUCAUCUUAGAGAUCAUUCCAUCACCAGUAUCUAUUAAUUAGUGAGAAUAUAUCCAAGUACAGGGGAAAAACCAAAACACAUUUCAGCAAUUUAAAUGAUUCAAAAAUAAAUCCUUCAG